rnacentral:rRNA from 1 species
UACGUAGGGUGCAAGCGUUUGUCCGGAAUUAUUGGGCGUAAAGGGCUCGUAGGCGGUCCAUCGCGUCGGGAGUGGAAAAGCCUGGGGCUUAACCCCAGUCCUGCUUCCGAUACGGGUGGACUAGAGGUAGGUAGGGGAGAUCGGAAUUCCUGGUGUAGCGGUGAAAUGCGCAGAUAUCAGGAGGAACAUCGGUGGCGAAGGCGGAUCUCUGGGCCUUACCUGACGCUGAGGAGCGGAAAGCAUGGGGAGCAAACAGG